UUUUUUGAGAACCUAAGAUUCUAGAUUUCAUUCCCUAAUGUGUAGUUGAGCUCUGGCCGAAGCGACAGAGUAACUUUUGGACCCGUAUCAAGGCCAAAGCGACAAGAUGGGGUAGGAUCGUUAAGGCCAUAGCGACAAAACGAUUUAAAUCAAUUAAGGCCAUAGCGACAAAAUAGAUUUUGCAUUGUGGGUAUUUAGAACCUCUUGGGGUUAGGUUCAUCUGUAAUUAUCAACUACCUAAGACUCUACACUUAUACCCUAUUGUAGUUGAACUCUGGCCGAAGCGACAGAGUAACUUUUGGAUCCGCAUCAAGGCCAAAGCGACAAGAUGGGAUGAGAUCAUUAAGGCCAAAGCGACAAAAUGAUCUCCAAGUCUAUCAAGGCCAAAGCGACAAGAUAGAAGAAUUAUUGAGGCCAAAGCGACAAAAUAAUUCUUGGUCCAUUAAGGCCAAGCGACAAAAUGGACCUUGAUCUAUUAAGGCCAAAGCGACAAAAUAGAUUUCUAAUGUAGGGUACUAGUUAGAGUCGUAGGUAGUGAUUUCGAAAGAGUGUUACAAAAAUAAAAUCUAACUAUUCUAUUUUGUAACUUGUACUAGCAUAGGGACUACAAUUUAGGACUACAAUUCUAGACUUGAACCCUGGUGUAUUAGUCAAGCUCCGGCCAUAGCGACAGAGUGACUCUCGAUCCUUAUCAAGGCCAUAGCGACAAGAUGGGAUAGGAUCAUUGAAGCCAAGGCGACAAAAUGAUCCUUGGUCUAUUA
rnacentral:lncRNA from 1 species